AACGAACGCUGGCGGCAGGCCUAACACAUGCAAGUCGAGCGAGAUCUUCGGGUCUAGCGGCGGACGGGUGAGUAACGCGUGGGAAUAUGCCCUUCUCUGCGGAAUAGCCUCGGGAAACUGAGCGUAAUACCGCAUACGCCCUUUGGGGGAAAGAUUGAUCGGAGAAGGAUUAGCCGGCGUGGGAUUAGGUAGUUGGUGGGGUAACGGCCUACCAAGCCGACGAUCCAUAGCUGGUUUGAGAGGAUGAUCAGCCACACUGGGACUGAGACACGGCCCAGACUCCUACGGGAGGCAGCAGUGGGGAAUCUUAGAAAAUGGGGGCAAUCCUGAUCGAGCCAUGCCGCGUGAGUGAUGAAGGCCUUAGGGUUGUAAAGCUCUUUCAGCUGGGAAGAUAAUGACGGUACCAGCAGAAGAAGCCCCGGCUAACUCCGUG
rnacentral:rRNA from 1 species